rnacentral:rRNA from 1 species
AUUGAACGCUGGCGGCAUGCCUUACACAUGCAAGUCGAACGGCAGCGGCGGGAGCAAUCCUGGCGGCGAGUGGCGAACGGGUGAGUAAUACAUCGGAACGUGCCCAAUCGUGGGGGAUAACGCAGCGAAAGCUGUGCUAAUACCGCAUACGAUCUACGGAUGAAAGCAGGGGAUCGCAAGACCUUGCGCGAAUGGAGCGGCCGAUGGCAGAUUAGGUAGUUGGUGAGGUAAAGGCUCACCAAGCCUUCGAUCUGUAGCUGGUCUGAGAGGACGACCAGCCACACUGGGACUGAGGCACGGCCCAGACUCCUACGGGAGGCAGCAGUGGGAAUUUUGGACAAUGGCGAAAGCCUGAUCCAGCCAUGCCGCGUGCAGGAUGAA